ensembl:snRNA U2 U2 spliceosomal RNA
UGUCCUCCAUCGGAGGUCUAUAUUGAGCAGAUUUUUUUUGGUGUUGGGUGGUGGAACUGGAGCUUGCUCCAUCCACUGCAUGCAUUGACCUGGUAUUACAGUGCUUGCAGGACCGGUGC